rnacentral:rRNA from 1 species
UGGGGAAUCUUCCGCAAUGGACGAAAGUCUGACGGAGCAACGCCGCGUGAGUGAAGAAGGUUUUCGGAUCGUAAAACUCUGUCUUUUGGGGCGAACGUGAGUAUGGUGAACAAUCAUAGUCAGUGACGGUACCAAAGGAGGAAGCCACGGCUAACUACGUGCCAGCAGCCGCGGUAAUACGUAGGUGGCAAGCGUUGUCCGGAAUUAUUGGGCGUAAAGAGCGCGUAGGCGGGAUAGUCAGUCUGUUGUAAAGUGCGGGGCUCAACCCCGUGAUGGCAAUGGAAACAGCUAUUCUUGAGUGCAGGAGAGGAAAGUGGAAUUCCCAGUGUAGCGGUGAAAUGCGUAGAUAUUGGGAGGAACACCAGUGGCGAAGGCGACUUUCUGGACUGUGUCUGACGCUGAGGCGCGAAAGCCAGGGGGAGCGAACGGGAUUAGAUACCCCCGGUAGUCCUGGCCGUAAACGAUGGGUACUAGGUGUGGGAGGUAUCGACCCCCUUUCCGUGCCGGAGUUAACGCAAUAAGUACCCCGCCUGGGGAGUACGGUCGCAAGACUGAAACUCAAAUGAAUUGAC